rnacentral:misc_RNA from 1 species
UAACCACUCAAGCCUAGCUUGGUAUUGGAGUUCGCGGUGUCGCGGCUCUUAAAAUUAGUGGCGGUGCCGUCUGGCUCUAAGCGUAGUAAUUCUCUCGCUAUAGGGUUCUGGUGGUUGCUUGCCAUAACCCCCCAACUCUCAC